ACAAAAAUCUCAGCGCCCAAACCCUAGCUAGCCCCUCCCACCGUCCCUCCCUCAAUCCAAAUGGACGGCGACGGCGACGGCAGCCUCCGCUUCGACUUCGAGGACGACGUCGACGCUUCGAGCGCUGGAUCCGGCUCCGCGUCCUCGGAAGCCCCCAUCCUCGCCGUGGGAGGGCCGUCCCGUGGCCGCGGCCACGGAAGCAUCGAAAUGGACGGCGACGAGGACAGCCUCCGCUUCGACUUCGAGGACGGCCUCGACGCGGCCGGCGCUGGCACCGAAUCCUCGGCCUGGCCCUUCGAAGCCCCCAUCCCCUCCGCUGGAGGGCCGUCCCAUGGCCCUGGCAGCCGCAGCAUCCAAAUGGACGGCGACGAGGGCAGCCUCCGCUUCGACAUCGAGGACUACCUCGACUCCGUCGCCGCUGGAUCCGGCUCCGACGAGGAGAUCCCGGAGUGCAGAAUGUUUAGCGUGGGCUUUUGCCUUAAUGGAUCUAAUUGCAAGUGCAUGCAUGUUAAGCUACCUGGGUCGCCUCCUGUUCAAGAAGUCCUCCAGAAGUUUCAACAGACGAAUGCCUAUAACUAUGGUUCAUCAAGCACAACUUAUCAGCCUAGAGACAAUAACUGUAAGCAGAAGGCGAAACCUCAAGUCCAGCAUGAGUCGGUGCUGAAGAACCAAAAUUUGGCUGUAAAUGCUACUCUUGUAGCGCAACAACCUGCUGCUCAGCAUGUGCAGACAGCAAAUCCACCACCACACCUACAGCAGCAGCAAAAUGCUCAGGUUCAAGGUGUCCAUAAUGGGUCAUCUAUCCAAAAGCUACCGCAACUGCAAGCCCACUUCCACAAGGGCAAUCAAGGUACUUGGUUAUUAAAUGUUGCAACCAGGAGAAUCUGGAUUUUGGUUCAGUGGGGUGUUUGUGCCCCUCAAAAAGGAUUAAUGAGGUGAACUUGACGAAGCAUGUCCAUGGAGAGUGUCAUUUCAAUAUUCCCCAUCUCUAGAACUCAUCAUUUCCAGGCUCAGGACACCAACCAAACAUCUGUCCAUCAGGAGUUCAGGACUGCCUGACCAGGCAAAAAAUCAUCAACAUCUCAGGCUGAGGAUUUUCUCCAGGCAUGAAGCUGAGGACAGUAACCAAACUAGUGAUAAGUCUGGCAUCCCCUCCGUAUCUACUAGCAUCUACUAGUAGUUUGCUAUCGUAUUUUGCUAUGUAGCUAUGUUGAAGAUGCUACCGAACAAUCUAUGUCUUGCUAUGUCGAACUUGGUAUGUCCUGUCCUGUUUAUAUGUUGAUCUACGUCUUGCUAUUUUCACGUUGCAUGCAUUGCAUGGAUUUGGGGGUUUGCAUAUGAGGGGGACGGCUGUGGACGCGGACAUUUGAGGUUUGAGGGGUGAUUGGACACGUCCGAGGAUAUAUAGGGGUUCAAAUUAGUACUACCUCCCUUCCAAAUUAUAAGAUGUUUUGGAUAUUUCAAUAUGGUCUACAUAGACUGAAAUGAGUGAACAAACACACUAAAACGCGUCUAUAUACAUCUGAUUCUCAUUUUUUUUAUAAGAUCUUAUAAUUUGGAAUGGAGGGAGUACAUUCUGGUUGUAGAUGCUCUAAAGUGUUAGGGUUGUAAACUUGGUAAACAGAUUCAGUUAUCUUAAUGUUCACCUCCGAGCUUCUGAUGGUGAGCCUCUUUAUGGUCUGACUCACUAACGUCAUCUUGUUAGUUGCCUUGUCUAACUAGCAUCUCCUAUCCAGUUCGCGUUCUGGGUCACCUCCUUCGGGUUCUACAUAUCGUUCGCAUCUCUAGCCACUUUCUGCUUAAUGUGUCUUUUCUUAGUUUCUCAUUGCCAGCAAGACAAAGAAACAUAUUGCAAUUUCCUGUUUGAGCAGAGGCCGAGGUUGCAAGCUAUGGCUCUUGUGACAGAGGUGACUUGAUUACGGUGGUCACUUGAGGAUUUUUGUCUUUCUGUUACUACAUCGACUCCUCUUUUGUCUAACAACUCAUGUGCUAUUGGUAUUUCUUGAGAUUUGGUAAAAGCAAUAGCUCAACAAACAUAUUGGUAUUGACGCUUAUAUGAGAUAAUAGGUACAAGAUCAGGUUGCUCUUCGGUAUGUGCCUUCGGAGCUUCAGUUGGAGGCCUUGGGAAUAGAUCAGGAUAUUUCCCUCGUAAAAGCUGCACUGAUCGCUGCUAAGGCACAGGGUGCUGAUGACGUCGCUGACAACGAAGGCAAGGGCAUCAUGCUAUUUGUCAGUACAAGGGGAGCGAAGAGAAUGGUGAGGACUGUGGCUGAUUUACUGAAGGAAGCUGUACGUGAUGGUUUAUUUCUACGGUGAUUGUUUUCUUCCUGCCGAUUCCUCAAGAGGAUAUGGGGCCUCUUCCCAUUGGAGGCAUAUAUGUAUUCCUGAGUAUAUCUUGCAUGUACUGUCUUGUCAUAGCAAGCAACUUGGGACCAGCUUCAGACAAAUAGUAUGUUUCAGUUUUGAACCAAACUAGGCUACUCCUGCAAUGAAUGAAUUUCCGUUUUGGUUUGCACACA